AGAGUUUGAUCAUGGCUCAGGAUAAACGCUGGCGGUGUGCUUUAUGCAUGCAAGUCGAACGGGCUGUAGCAAUACAGUCAGUGGCAGACGGGUGAGUAACACGUAAGUAACCUGUCCUUAAGUGGGGAAUAACUCUGAGAAAUCGGAGCUAAUACCGCAUGUGAUCCUUGUUAUGAAGAUGAGGAUUAAAGCCGUAAGGCGCUUGAGGAGGGGCUUGCGCCCGAUUAGCUUGUUGGUGAGGUAACGGCCCACCAAGGCAACUAUCGGUAGCUGGUUUGAGAGGACGACCAGCCACACUGGAACUGAGACACGGUCCAGACUCCUACGGGAGGCAGCAGCAAGGAAUAUUGGGCAAUGGGCGAAAGCCUGACCCAGCGACACCGCGUGGGGGAAGAAGGCCUUCGGGUUGUAAACCCCUUUUAUCGGGGAAGAAUAAUGACGGUACCCGGUGAAUAAGCCUCGGCUAACUACGUGCCAGCAGCCGCGGUAAUACGUAGGAGGCAAGCGUUAUCCGGAUUUACUGGGCGUAAAGCGGGUGUAGGCGGCCUGUCAAGUCCGAUGUGAAAUCUCCCGGCUUAACCGGGAGGGGUCAUCAGAUACUGGCAGGCUGGAGUGCAGCAGAGGGUGAUGGAAUUCCCGGUGUAGUGGUGAAAUGCGUAGAUAUCGGGAAGAACACUAGUGGCGAAGGCGGUCACCUGGGCUGUAACUGACGCUGAGAUCCGAAGGCGUGGGGAGCAAACAGGAUUAGAUACCCUAGUAGUCC
rnacentral:rRNA from 1 species